AAAACCAACGUGGACAACACAGAUCUGGAACUCGAGUAAAUCAUACUCACAAAUAAGUUUUUGAGAAGAGAGACUUGGAAACCAGAGAAGAGGAGCGAAGAUCAAGACUAGAAUUUGAAAAAAAAACAUGAUGGCAAAGUUUACAGAAUUGAGCCAACAGAUGGGAACCCAACAGCUGAUUACAUUCAUAUGCUUGCGACCUUGUAAGAUUUAUGUUGCUUAAUUGCAUUGCUAAAAGUGCACUUCUAUUUUCAGGUGCUAACGAAGAGGAUUAACAAAGGAAAUAGUAUCCAAACUUGCAAAAUACUCUUUUACAUAGAUCUACUCCUAAUAAGACUCCAGUUGCAAGGCCAACUGUUAUUUCUUCAAAUGCUCUUAUACAAGUUGCAACGAGGAAUUCUCGAAUGUUUAAAGCAAUGGAUCCAAAGAACUAGCUGGACUGGACUCUAGAUCAUGGACAGUUUAGUUUGGCACUUAAUUAGGAUGGCUAAAUUACAUCUGAGUUUCAUUUGAUGGAUAUUUUCUAUGAGAAUUAUGAAUUUAUGAAUGUACAUAUUAUAUGUAUGGUUUGGAAUAUUGUAAUUGAAUGCCUGUAUUUUUUUACGGUUGCAAUGGGCUAUUACCACAACCAACUUUUGGUUGAAAUAGAGUAUCGCCAUGAAAAGUUGGCAUUGUUACAGUAGCUUCUCGCUACAAGCAUUUUGA